UAGCUCAGUUAGUAGAGUGUUUGCCUCACAUGCACAAGGCCCUGGGUUCAAUACCCAG
rnacentral:tRNA from 1 species